rnacentral:rRNA from 1 species
UGGGGAAUUUUCCGCAAUGGGCGAAAGCCUGACGGAGUGACGCCGCGUGGGGGACGAAGGCCUUCGGGUCGUAAACCCCUGUCAGAGGGAAAGAAGGGUGUCGGCGCGAUAACCGCCGGCAUCUGACGGUACCUUCAGAGGAAGCCCCGGCCAACUCUGUGCCAGCAGCCGCGGUAAGACAGAGGGGGCAAGCGUUGCUCGGAAUCACUGGGCGUAAAGGGCGCGUAGGCGGGAUGGCAAGUCAGUCGUGAAAUCUCUCGGCUCAACCGAGAAACGUCGGCUGAUACUGCCGUUCUUGAGGGAUGCAGAGGAGACUGGAAUUCCCGGUGUAGCGGUGAAAUGUGUAGAGAUCGGGAGGAACACCGGUGGCGAAGGCGGGUCUCUGGGCAUCUCCUGACGCUGAGGCGCGAAAGCGUGGGGAGCAAACGGG